UACAGAGGUCCCCAAGCGUUGUUCGGAUUCACUGGGCGUAAAAGCGUGCGCAGGCGGUUAUGUAAGACAGGUGUGAAAAUCCCCGGGCGUUAACCUGGGAACGUGCGCUUGUGACUGCAUAACUCGAGUGUGGCAGAGGGGGGUGGAAUUCCACGUGUAGCAGUGAGAUGCGUAGAGAUGUGGAGGAACACCGAUGGCGAAGGCAGCCCCCUGGGU
rnacentral:rRNA from 1 species